AUCCGCCCGGCAAGGCGUCGGCGACGGCGCGCAGGAGGUAGGAGUCGAGCGACAGGCUGGUGCCGAACGCGCCCAUGAACUGACCCUUGUAGUAGAAGGGCGUCAUGCAGGCCGCGUUGAGCCCCCGGCCGCUGGGGUCGGAGAUCAGCCGGCGCAGCUUGGUGCACUUCAUGACCCGCUCCGGAUUGUUCUCCGGCAGGGUCAGGGUGGUCAUUUCCUCCUUCGAGAUGUCCAGCGUGUUGGGCGCGUCACGCCGGUAGUACUGAAGCCGGUCCUGGCGAAGCGGCCCGAACAUCACCAGACGCGUCUGCGGCGUGAAGAAAUAGAAGUUGUCGUAGUGGCGGAUCUGCGCCUCGCCCGUGGUCGCCACCACAUCGGCGGCCGCGACGAACAGGGCCUGUUCCGGCGGGCUUAUCGUCGCAGCAUCGCGCAGAUAGGCGCCAAGGCCAUGGGUGUAGUGGCCGCCG
rnacentral:sRNA from 1 species